rnacentral:rRNA from 1 species
AGAAUCAACGCUGGCGGCGUGCCUAACACAUGCAAGUCGAACGAGAAAGUGGAGCAAUCCAUGAGUAAAGUGGCGCACGGGUGAGUAACACGUGACUAACCUACCCUUGAGUGGGGGAUAACCUAGGGAAACCUGGGCUAAUACCGCAUAAUACCUUCGGGUCAAAGGAGCAAUUCGCUUAAGGAGGGGGUCGCGGCCGAUUAGUUAGUUGGCGGGGUAAUGGCCCACCAAGACUGUGAUCGGUAUCCGGCCUGAGAGGGCGCACGGACACACUGGAACUGAAACACGGUCCAGACUCCUACGGGAGGCAGCAGUGGGGAAUUUUGCGCAAUGGGGGAAACCCUGACGCAGCAACGCCGCGUGGAGGAUGAAGCCCCUUGGGGCGUAAACUCCUUUCGAUCGGGACGAUAAUGACGGUACCGGAAGAAGAAGCCCCGGCUAACUUCGUGCCCAGCAGGCCGC